GUGCUGUGAGCUCGAUGAGUAGGGCGGGACACGUGGUAUCCUGUCUGAAUAUGGGGGGACCAUCCUCCAAGGCUAAAUACUCCUGACUGACCGAUAGUGAACCAGUACCGUGAGGGAAAGGCGAAAAGAACCCCGGCGAGGGGAGUGAAAAAGAACCUGAAACCGUGUACGUACAAGCAGUGGGAGCACCCUUUGGGGUGUGACUGCGUACCUUUUGUAUAAUGGGUCAGCGACUUAUAUUCUGUAGCAAGGUUAACCGAAUAGGGGAGCCGGAGGGAAACCGAGUCUUAAUUGGGCGUUAAGUUGCAGGGUAUAGACCCGAAACCCGGUGAUCUAGCCAUGGGCAGGUUGAAGGUUGGGUAACACUAACUGGAGGACCGAACCGACUAAUGUUGAAAAAUUAGCGGAUGACCUGUGGCUGGGGGUGAAAGGCCAAUCAAACCGGGAGAUAGCUGGUUCUCCCCGAAAGCUAUUUAGGUAGCGCCUCGUGAAUUCAUCUCCGGGGGUAGAGCACUGUUUCGGCUAGGGGGCCAUCCCGGCUUACCAACCCGAUGCAAACUGCGAAUACCGGAGAAUGUUAUCACGGGAGACACACGGCGGGUGCUAACGUCCGUCGUGAAGAGGGAAACAACCCAGACCGCCAGCUAAGGUCCCAAAGUCAUGGUUAAGUGGGAAACGAUGUGGGAAGGCCCAGACAGCCAGGAUGUUGGCUUAGAAGCAGCCAUCAUUUAAAGAAAGCGUAAUAGCUCACUGGUCGAGUCGGCCUGCGCGGAAGAUGUAACGGGGCUAAACCAUG
rnacentral:rRNA from 1 species